GAUGAACGCUGGCGGCGUGCCUAAUACAUGCAAGUCGAGCGAACAGACGAGGAGCUUGCUCCUCUGACGUUAGCGGCGGACGGGUGAGUAACACGUGUAUAACCUACCUAUAAGACUGGGAUAACUUCGGGAAACCGGAUCUAAUACCGGAUAAUAUAUUGAACCGCAGUGUUCAAUAGUGAAAUGCGGUGUUUCUGUCACGUAUAGAUGGAUCCGCGCCGCAUUAGCUAGUUGUUAAGUUAACGGCUUACCAAGGCAACGAUGCGUAGCCGACCUGAGAGGGUGAUCGGCCACACUGGAACUGAGACACGGUCCAGACUCCUACGGGAGGCAGCAGUAGGGAAUCUUCCGCAGUGGGCGAAAGCCUGACGGAGCAACGCCGCGUGAGUGAUGAAGGUCUUCGGAUCGUAAAACUCUGUUAUUAGGGAAGAACAAAUGUGUAAGUAAAUAUGCACGUAUUGACGGUACCUAAUCAGAAAGCCACGGCUAACUACGUG
rnacentral:rRNA from 1 species